CGGGACACGUGGUAUCCUGUCUGAAUAUGGGGGGACCAUCCUCCAAGGCUAAAUACUCCUGACUGACCGAUAGUGAACCAGUACCGUGAGGGAAAGGCGAAAAGAACCCCGGCGAGGGGAGUGAAAAAGAACCUGAAACCGUGUACGUACAAGCAGUGGGAGCCUCUUAAUGGGGUGACUGCGUACCUUUUGUAUAAUGGGUCAGCGACUUAUAUUCUGUAGCAAGGUUAACCGAAUAGGGGAGCCGAAGGGAAACCGAGUCUUAACUGGGCGUUAAGUUGCAGGGUAUAGACCCGAAACCCGGUGAUCUAGCCAUGGGCAGGUUGAAGGUUGGGUAACACUAACUGGAGGACCGAACCGACUAAUGUUGAAAAAUUAGCGGAUGACUUGUGGCUGGGGGUGAAAGGCCAAUCAAACCGGGAGAUAGCUGGUUCUCCCCGAAAGCUAUUUAGGUAGCGCCUCGUGAAUUCAUCUCCGGGGGUAGAGCACUGUUUCGGCAAGGGGGUCAUCCCGACUUACCAACCCGAUGCAAACUGCGAAUACCGGAGAAUGUUAUCACGGGAGACACACGGCGGGUGCUAACGUCCGUCGUGAAGAGGGAAACAACCCAGACCGCCAGCUAAGGUCCCAAAGUCAUGGUUAAGUGGGAAACGAUGUGGGAAGGCCCAGACAGCCAGGAUGUUGGCUUAGAAGCAGCCAUCAUUUAAAGAAAGCGUAAUAGCUCACUGGUCGAGUCGGCCUGCGCGGAAGAUGUAACGGGGCUAAACCAUGCACCGAAGCUGCGGCAGCGACACUAUGUGUUGUUGGGUAGGGGAGCGUUCUGUAAGCCUGUGAAGGUGUACUGUGAGGUAUGCUGGAGGUAUCAGAAGUGCGAAUGCUGACAUAAGUAACGAUAAAGCGGGUGAAAAGCCCGCUCGCCGGAAGACCAAGGGUUCCUGUCCAACGUUAAUCGGGGCAGGGUGAGUCGACCCCUAAGGCGAGGCCGAAAGGCGUAGUCGAUGGGAAACAGGUUAAUAUUCCUGUACUUGGUGUUACUGCGAAGGGGGGACGGAGAAGGCUAUGUUGGCCGGGCGACGGUUGU
rnacentral:rRNA from 1 species